rnacentral:rRNA from 1 species
GUCCCGCCUGCCCUGUGACUAUUUGUUUAACGGCCGCGGUAUUUUGACCGUGCGAAGGUAGCGCAAUCACUUGUCUUUUAAAUGAAGACCCGUAUGAAUGGCAUAACGAGGGCUCAGCUGUCUCCUCUUUCCGGUCAAUGAAAUUGAUCUUUCCGUGCAGAAGCGGGAAUACAAACAUAAGACGAGAAGACCCUAUGGAGCUUUAGACGCCAAGGCAGCCCACGUUAAGCACCCCCCUACAAGGGACUAAACCAAGUGAAACCUGCCCUAAUGUCUUUGGUUGGGGCGACCGCGGGGAAUUAAAGAACCCCCACGUGGAAUGGGAGCACUCCUCCUACAGCUAAGAGCUACAGCUCUAGUAAACAGAAUUUCUGACCAAUAAGAUCCGGCAAUGCCGAUCAACGGACCGAGUUACCCUAGGGAUAACAGCGCAAUCCUCUUUUAGAGCCCAUAUCGACAAGGGGGUUUACGACCUCGAUGUUGGAUCAGGACAUCCUAAUGGUGCAGCCGCUAUUAAGGGUUCGUUUGUUCAACG